ensembl:processed_transcript 4930405A21Rik RIKEN cDNA 4930405A21 gene
ACCGCGCGGCCCACGCCCUGGCCGGCCGGUCUUGAAAGGGAGUGCGCGCCCGCGCCAACUCGCGCAUGCCCGAGUGAGGGGCUCCGCCCUCUCGAACCGCCCCGCCAAACCGGUUCCAGCUGGAACGCAAUGCGUGGUCUGUACGGGAGUUGGAGUGGCCGUCCGUCCCUGCGGGCUCACCCUGGUGGCGACGCCUCGCUGUAGCAGAUGGUGGCAGAGUGUCAUAAGGGGCAGUGUCCUUUUCUUAACUCGGCACAAAAGUACUACAUGGACCAGCUGCAGCUCUGGCCAGAAGCCUGGCGAUCUGGUGGCUCCGGCUCUCCUAGGUGGCAGGAUCAAGAUGUAAAACUCUCAACUACUUCUGCCACACCAUGCCUACCUGCCUGCUGCCACGCUCCCCACCAUGAUGAUCUUGGACUAAGCCUCUGAAACUAAGCCAGCCUCCAGUUCCAUGCUUUCCUUUAUAAGAGUCACCUUGAGCCAGAUGGGAAACCAAGAGACUUGAGACAAAAUGAGGUUGUCCUCCCAUCCUUCUGCCACCUCCAUGGGGAAAACAUGGCCUGGCUGGGACACUGGCUCCUGAACAGCUUUUGGGCCCAGGGUAUAGGACACAGUGGGCAAAGGCGGCUGAUCGGCAAGCUCAUACCUAAGUGUUUGCUGUUGUCCCCCACUGAGAUGGUACACAAUGUAGAGUGUGACUGCGUAACGACCAAGAGAUAUCACGUUGGCCCCAGGACCAAGCAGGGAGAGAAAGGAUGAGCAAACUCUUAGAGGAGGAUUGGAAAAGGAGCCUGGAUUCUGCGUGGGUCAGGACUCCCAAGGAAAUCCACCUAGAGUGACUUCCCGUGUGCAGAUAGACUUGGGCAAGGCCUGCCUCCUUUGGAUAAGAGCUUAAAGAGAAAAUGCAAAAGAAACAGCCAACCUGUCAGGGACACUCAGGGGAAAUAGGAAGGGCCCAGAAAUGGCUGAGUUGGAAAAUAAAUCUGUCAGCUUU